AAAUCGAAUUUUCGGGUAUUUAAAUUAAUAGAUAUCAAUGAGAUGUAAAUAGAUCACACAGUACUUCAUUUCCUUGAUAUGCAAGUUAAUUCUUGGACAGAGCUAAGGAUGGAACACCACAAUAAAAUGUCCAAACCAUCCCAAUCCAAAAAUAACAUUAUAAAACAUUACAUUUAUUUGAAAAAGUCGGGAAAAACUGCAAAAAUGACACUCACAACGAGGAAUGCUUACUAAAUAUAUUGAUCUUAAGCAAAGCGGGCAACUGCAGCAUGUAUAGCGUCAGCAAGAUGCGGAACUGUCUUAGAACUAAGACCUGCCAUGCUUAUCCUCCCAUCAGAUGUCAUGUAAAUGUGAUAAUCUUUUGUCAUGAAUGCGACUUGUUCAGAGUUCAAACCAGUGAAAGUAAACAUUCCAAUCUGCUUGAUAAUGUGACUCCAGUCACCUGGGGUGCCUCUAGCAGAUAGAGCAUCAAAUAGUUGCUGGCGCAUGGUGAUAAUCCGGUCAGCCAUUGCUUUCAGCUCAAUAGUCCAUUCAUUAUACAUAUCCCUGUCUUUGAGAAUAGUAGCGACAAUUGAUGCACCAUGAAUAGGCGGAUUAGAAUACAUGGGCCGGAUCACUAGUUUCAACUGGCUCUCAACCCUACUUGCCACAUCUGCUGUCUUGCAGACAAUGCUGAGAGCCCCAACACGUUCCCCAUAGAGUCCCAUAUUUUUAGCAUAGCUCUGUGCUAUAAGACAUUCGCCACCAUCUGCAACAAACAUGCGAACAGACUGUGCAUCUGCAUCUAGGCUGCCACUUGCAAAACCCUGGUAAGCACUGUCAAAGAAAGGUAACAAUGCUUUUGAUCUUAUCAACUGUCUGAUCUGCUCCCACUGAUCAGGGGUUGGGUCAACACCGGUUGGAUUGUGUGCACAUGCAUGGAGAAGCACUAUAGAUCCUUCCGGCGCAGCUCCAAGAUCCUCUAGCAAGCCAUGGAAGUCCAGCCCCCGAGUUGCAGGAUCAUAGUAACGGUAUGUCUUCACAGACAACCCUGCAAGAGUGAAGACUUUGGGAUGAUUUCCCCAUGUUGGUGAAGGAAUGAAUAUCGUCAGUUGAUGAUAAUGCCUUGCGAGAAACUCGCCUCCAACCCUCAAAGAACCAGUACCAGACAAGCAUUGCACAGUCGUCACUCUCUUCUCCUGUAUGGCAGGGCUUUCAGCUCCUAAUAUAAGCUUUGCACUCAGUUUAUUAAACUCAGCAAGUCCAACAAUGGGAAGAUACUCUUUGACCCGAGACAGGUCAUUUACUAACAUCUGCUCCGCUCGCCUCACUACAUUCAAAACGAGGGGCUUCCCUUCCUCCGUUCGGUAAGCACCAACACCCAAAUUCAAUUUGUUAGGGCUGGUAUCCUUGUUAUAAGCAACAGUAACCCCUAGAAUGGGAUCUUCAGGAGCUCGAACAACGUUACCAAAGACAGAAUCAGAAUCCAUGACUGAGUUGAUCUGAGUAUGGAGUAUGAUCAGAGGAAGAUUAGGUCUAUAUAUCAAUCUCAAGCAGCAAAAGACGCUUGCUUUGAAAUGGAAGCAAAAAAGGUGUGGUUUAACAGUGGGCGCUGUCGAGACUGGAGACUGUUCAACGCUUCAACUGUGGGCGGUUACCGGUGGUAUUAUUCCAUUUUGUUUACUUUUCCUGCACUCUCACAAAUGUCAAGUUCGAGCCCAAACGCCCUCGUCAGCCGUCAGUUACAGUCCCGGAGAGUGCAUGGGCCGGGUUUGGUAACAGUUUAGGCCCAAAGUUCUCUACGGUCUGGCCAUCGUUGACGACAAAUUAUUAAAUACAUAAAUAAUGGUGAGUGUACAAGUCGAU
rnacentral:misc_RNA from 1 species